rnacentral:lncRNA from 1 species
UGGGUGUAUCCUGACAAAGCCUCCGCGUCAGCACCUUAAGAGCCCUGUCCACAUUGAUGGUCUCGCCGGUCAGGCGUAUAGUCCUCCACAGCCGGGGGUCCCAGGCCAGGUUGUACCAGCGGCGGCACACGCGGGCGCAGCGGCACAGCUGGUUGGUGGGCAGGAAGGAGAAGAUGUGGAUCAUGGAUUGGUCGGGCAGCCGGUCGACGUGGGCCUGCUCCUUCUGCUGCUUGGCUGCCAGCCGGAUGAGGGGGUGAGUGAGGCGGGUGGGAGGGGGAGAGUGGACCAUGGCCACCGUUUCCCCAGUGACUGAGGAGGACGAAGUAGAGGAGCCUCGGCCAUUCUGGAAACCGGGAGAUGUCGGUGGGAAUAUCAGUGCUGGGCUGGGCGUGCUGAGUGUCCGCAUGCUCAGGUCGGAAUCUUCACUGGUAGCUGCAUUCUUCUGGGCUUUGGUGGGCGUGUGAUCUGUACUUGAACUCACGUCGGAUGAGAUGCUUGAGCUGCCUUUGCCCUCGCUGCCGUACUGCUUGCCGUUGCUGGCGCCCAUCCUGCCGCCUUCAUGCUCACCGCCGCUCCCCGCCGCCCACCAUCUCGAGGCGAAGGCGCCUUCCCUGCCCCAGUUGUAAUCCACGGGACCCGCCGCACAGCGCGCGGGCUUAGCUUCUCUUCUUCUUCUUUCUUCUUCUUUUUCCUCCCUUCCUUCCUUCCCACCCUCCUCUCAGCUCGGGCAGCCCCUCCAGCCACUUGUUGCCGGGCAGGGAGACCGGGCACAACCGCCGAUCGCCGACUUUUGUUAGCAGCAGGCGCCUCCUCCCGGCGCCCCGCACCGCCGGGCCUCGGGGGGGAAGGGAGGAGGCAGAAAGCCCGGCCCCGGCCCCGGCCUUUAAAGACGCAGCGCCCGGCUUGAGGGUGGCCAGCGCCGGGAUAGGCGUGUGGUGCCCCAGUCCAG